rnacentral:rRNA from 1 species
CCGCGGUAAUACGUAGGGUGCGAGCGUUGUCCGGAAUUACUGGGCGUAAAGAGCUCGUAGGUGGUUUGUCGCGUUGUUCGUGAAACUCACAACUCAAUUGUGGGCGUGCGGGCGAUACGGGCAGACUUGAGUACUGCAGGGGAGACUGGAAUUCCUGGUGUAGCGGUGGAAUGCGCAGAUAUCAGGAGGAACACCGGUGGCGAAGGCGGGUCUCUGGGCAGUAACUGACGCUGAGGAGCGAAAGCGUGGGGAGCGAACAGGAUUAGAUACCCUGGUAGUCCACGCCGUAAACGGUGGGUACUAGGUGUGGGUUUCCUUCCUUGGGAUCCGUGCCGUAGCUAACGCAUUAAGUACCCCGCCUGGGGAGUACGGCCGCAAGGCUAAAACUCAAAGGAAUUG